rnacentral:rRNA from 1 species
AGAGUUUGAUCAUGGCUCAGAAUGAACGCUGGCGGCGUGCCUAACACAUGCAAGUCGAGCGAGAAAUCACACUUCGGUGUGAGAGUAGAGCGGCGCACGGGUGAGUAACGCGUGGAUAAUCUACCCAUGGAUUGGGGAUAACCCUGCGAAAGCGGGGCUAAUACCUGAUAGUCUGGUCAUUAUAUAGAUGAUCGGUAAAGGUGGCCUCUGAUACAAGCUACUGUCCGUGGAUGAGUCCGCGUCUCAUUAGCUGGUUGGUGGGGUAAUGGCCUACCAAGGCGACGAUGAGUAGCUGGUCUGAGAGGAUGAUCAGCCACACUGGGACUGGAACACGGCCCAGACUCCUACGGGAGGCAGCAGUGGGGAAUAUUGGGCAAUGGGCGCAAGCCUGACCCAGCAACGCCGUGUGAGGGAAGAAGGUUUUCGGAUCGUAAACCUCUGUCAGAAGGGAAGAAGUGGCAGAUAUUUAAUAUAUAUUUGCUUUGACGGUACCUUCAGAGGAAGCACCGGCUAACUCCGUGCCAGCAGCCGCGGUAAUACGGAGGGUGCAAGCGUUAUUCGGAAUCACUGGGCGUAAAGCGCGCGUAGGUUGCGUG